CAGGAUCUGGAGGAAAGACUUUUAAUAAAAACUACUGUGACUAAGCUCCAGACUUGUAUGCCAAAAAAAUACAUCUGUGGCUGGCUGAUGAAAGCUGCUCAGAAGAAACACUGUGUCACUGAACCGCAGACACUAG